UACGUAGGGUGCAAGCGUUAAUCGGAAUUACUGGGCGUAAAGCGUGCGCAGGCGGUUCGUUGUGUCGGCGGUGAAAGCCCCGGGCUUAACCUGGGAAUGGCCGUCGAAACUGGCGAACUGGAGUGUGGCAGAGGGGGGUGGAAUUCCGCGUGUAGCAGUGAAAUGCGUAGAGAUGCGGAGGAACACCGAUGGCGAAGGCAGCCCCCUGGGCUGACACUGACGCUCAGGCACGAAAGCGUGGGGAGCAAACAGG
rnacentral:rRNA from 1 species